AGAUUUUGAAUGAUACUCUUUCAGAAGUUGUUGGACAUUAUCAGAAGGGAAUGCAUUUUGGAGAGGCAGGUUUUUUGUUUGGAAAACAAGCCACGUUGACAGUACGUGCUGUGACAUGCUGUGAAAUUGUAGUUAUUGAUUUUGACAAAAUCAGAGUACUUCUUGAGAAAUAUCCCCUGCUUAAAAGGCAAAUUACAGAAUUCCAAUCAGAGCCAAAAUGCUACACGACAUUGGUGGAGACUGCAGAGAAAUUAUUGAAAAGGCAAUCCCAUCUCCAAGAAUCUGACAUUGCACAGAGACAAAAAGUCACGUUGGCAUUUCAGGGCCGUAGAUUUUCCAAGAAGACAAAAUGUUGUGAGUAUUUUGAGAAACAUUACUCCAUACAGAAUAUAUAGGAGUAUAUAGUAUAUAUGUAGGAGUACAAGCAAAAAGUCUUUAAUCAAGGAAUCACAGGGAUAAUCCACAAUGGGAACACAGGACAUCCAACAAGUAGACCCGACAGAGACAAAACUGAACA